rnacentral:lncRNA from 1 species
UACCGAAAAGCAUGGGAUUGAUGAUAAUGCCUUGAUUGGGUACUCUCGGUAAGUAAUCCAUGUCAGGAGUAACUUCAGGCAUGAACACAUGGGGCCUGAGAAGCAUAUGAGGUGUUUCUCCUUCAGCACCACCUGCAUCUUCACUCUUUGGAUUUACUUCAACUAGUUUGGAGUUUGGAGUUUGGUUAGGUCUGGUGGUGGUUUGGAGCAUGGCUUCUGCUACUCUUGAGGUAGGGUUCAAUUCUGGCAUUGUUGAUGUCAUCUUGCGGGGAGUUGGUGUCGUCUUUGGUUUUCUCACUCUAGGCAUUGUUUUUGGCUUUUUGGUAGAAGUGGGUUUUUUGGGUGCUUUGGUUGGCUUUUGAGGUUUAGGAGUUGUCACUUUAGAAUUAGUAGCUCUGUCUUUUGGUUUAGCUGUUUCUUCAGGUUUGUUCAUAAUCUCAGUGGUAGUAAUUGUCUUUUUUGUUGUAGUAGUUACUUUGGGUGCAAGAGUAGUUGUUUUAAGAGUAGUAAUUUUGAAUGGUGUGGUAUCUUGAGUUGUGGUAGAUGUUACUUGUGUGGUUGUAGUUGUUAUUUUGGAUUCGGUAGUUUUUUCUGUUGUAGUUGCUGUCUCUUUUGUCAUCUUAGGUGCAGCAGUUGUAGUUUCAGGUGUAGUACGUAAGUCUCUUUCUGUUGUCUUGUCUUUAGCUGUUGUAGUCAUUUCAGGUUUAGUUGCUGCAGGAGUCUUAGUUGUAGGUACACCAGGUUCCUUGGGACUGUUUUCAAGAGCUUUUGGUGUGGGUUCUGCAGAAAGCUCAGGAGUUGAUUCAUCAGGGCUUUUGUGGAUAGUGGUAGGCUCCUUGGUGGUAGUUGGAGUAGAGACCUCUGAAGUGGUAGGAGGAGGUGUCUCAGGAGUAGUUGGAGCAGGCUUCUUGGGGGUAGUGGGUGCAGGCUCCUUGGGGAUAGUUGGAGCAGUCUCCUUAGGUAUAGUUGGAGCAGGCUUGUCAGAGGUGGUAGAUGUGGGCUUCUUGGUGGUGGUGGGUGCAAGCUCUUUGGGAGUGGUGGGUGCAGGCUUCUUGGUGGUGGUGGGUGCAGGUUCCUUGGGAGUGGUGGGUGCACUC